GACGAACGCUGGCGGCGUGCUUAACACAUGCAAGUCGAACGCUGAAGACCUGGCUUUUGUUGGGUUGGCUGAGUGGCGAACGGGUGAGUAACACGUGAGUAACCUGCCCUCUUCUUUGGGAUAACGCCCGGAAACGGGUGCUAAUACUGGAUAUUCACUGAUCUUCGCAUGGGGGUUGGUGGAAAGGUUUGUUCUGGUGGGGGAUGGGCUCGCGGCCUAUCAGCUUGUUGGUGGGGUGAUGGCCUACCAAGGCUUUGACGGGUAGCCGGCCUGAGAGGGUGGCCGGUCACAUUGGGACUGAGAUACGGCCCAGACUCCUACGGGAGGCAGCAGUGGGGAAUAUUGCACAAUGGGCGAAAGCCUGAUGCAGCGACGCCGCGUGAGGGAUGGAGGCCUUCGGGUUGUAAACCUCUUUCGCUCAUGGUCAAGCCGCAACUGUGGGUUGUGGUGAGGGUAGUGGGUAAAGAAGCGCCGGCUAACUACGUG
rnacentral:rRNA from 1 species